CCUACGUGAGGCAGCAGUAGGGAAUAUUGCUCAAUGGGGGAAACCCUGAAGCAGCAACGCCGCGUGGAGGAUGAAGGUUUUAGGAGUGUAAAAUCCUUUUGUUAGAGAAGAUUAUGACGGUAUCUAACGAAUAAGCACCGGCUAACUCCGUGCCAGCAGCCGCGGUAAUACGGAGGGUGCAAGCGUUACUCGGAGGCACUGGGCGUAAAGAGUGCGUAGGCGGGGUAAUAAGUCAGCUGUGAAAUCCUGUAGCUUAACCACAGAAUUGCAGUUGAAACUGUUACUCUGGAGUGUGGGAGGGGUAGGUGGAAUUCUUGGUGUAGGGGUGAAAUCCGUAGAGAUCACGAGGAAUACUCAUUGCGAAGGCGACCUGCUGGACCAUUACUGACGCUGAUGCACGAAAGCGUGGGGAGCAAACAGGAUUAGAUACCCGUGUAGUC
rnacentral:rRNA from 1 species